rnacentral:rRNA from 1 species
UACGUAGGGUGCGAGCGUUGUCCGGAAUUAUUGGGCGUAAAGAGCUCGUAGGCGGUUUGUCGCGUCUGCUGUGAAAACCCGAGGCUCAACCUCGGGCCUGCAGUGGGUACGAGCAGACUAGAGUGCGGUAGGGGAGAUUGGAAUUCCUGGUGUAGCGGUGGAAUGCGCAGAUAUCAGGAGGAACACCGAUGGCGAAGGCAGAUCUCUGGGCCGUAACUGACGCUGAGGAGCGAAAGCAUGGGGAGCGAACAGG